rnacentral:rRNA from 1 species
AGUGAACGCUGGCGGUAGGCCUAACACAUGCAAGUCGAACGGCAGCACAGUAAGAGCUUGCUCUUACGGGUGGCGAGUGGCGGACGGGUGAGGAAUACAUCGGAAUCUACUUUUUCGUGGGGGAUAACGUAGGGAAACUUACGCUAAUACCGCAUACGACCUACGGGUGAAAGCAGGGGAUCUUCGGACCUUGCGCGAUUGAAUGAGCCGAUGUCGGAUUAGCUAGUUGGCGGGGUAAAGGCCCACCAAGGCGACGAUCCGUAGCUGGUCUGAGAGGAUGAUCAGACACACUGGAACUGAGACACGGUCCAGACUGCUACGGGAGGCAGCAGACGGGAAUAUUGGACAAUGGGCGCAAGCCUGAUACAGCCAUACCGCGUGGGUGAAGAAGGCCUUCGGGUUGUAAAGCCCUUUUGUUGGGAAAGAAAAGCAGCAGGUUAAUACCCCGCUGUUCUGACGGUACCCAAAGAAUAAGCACCGGCUAACUUCGUG